AGAAAACUCGAUUCAACAGAGCAGUUUUUAGACAGUGGAGUUAGAAAUGAAAUGUCUAUACUCCUAGUCCUAGAGGACAAAUUUAAGGCUCCAUUAUUACUCUUUAAUCAUAAAUAUAAUUAAAAGUGAACCAUUUUGGAUGGCUAUGCUAUUUCCCCCUCUUUUGACACUCUGUGUGGGGGAACUCAAUUUCCAAGGUUUAGUACUAAUAACCCAGGCAUAUUGAAAUGUAAG
rnacentral:misc_RNA from 1 species